CAGCACUGUUUACGUAGCUCAUAAGGGCUUCCAAUAGAAGGCACUUUGAUUUCGCUGGUAUUCGCGAAGGUAUCAAAAGACUUCGUCCGCAAUUGUUCUCCAUUGGAUUAUUCGUUUUGUCACACGCGUUGCAACCCUCGUAAACAUUUUGUGUGAGCGGGCUCGAGGAUUGGGAUAUAUUCUCCGUAUCUUUGGAAGAAGUAGAUGCGUUCGAACGCGUGGAAGAGUUAGAUGGAUUCAAAAGAUUCGGAUUUACCAAGGCAAUCGCUUGUGUAUUCAAUGGUUCGAACAAAGGAUUAGAAUUGUUCUUUUUUCUGUUUGGAACACUCACUUGACGACUCGUCAAUUCACUGAUCUUUGCCGUCAUGAGAUCAUGAAAGUGCGGAUGAAAUCUGUAGACCGAACCAUCGAUACCAACGGUGACUCUUUCUUCGCCCAUUUUAUUUAAAAGUGUAGCGAUGCCAGCACUUGCAAGAUGAGCUGCUCUCCUCGAAAUGAUCGAGCAAACGUACCUAACGUUCUCACAGUCCUGAUCCGAAACGUUACGCUGACCCAAUUCCAUUAAGAUAUCACGACAAUUCGUAUAUUUGCCUUUGGGAUCACUGAAGGAAUUAAAUUAUCAUUAAAAAAAAAAAAAACGAAACGAGAAGAUAGAUAGAUAAAGAAAGAAAGAGAGAAAGAGAGAAAAAAGAGACAGAGAAAUCAAACCGUUCACUCACUUUUCUAUUUCGGAUACGUAUUUUGUGAAGAAUUUUCCUCGCUUUUUAAGAUCACUUGAACAUUUGCCACCAAAGAUUAAACCCUCGUUGACAAGCUUCUCAAGAACGAGCCUCGUAAUUUCUCCCAUAUACAUGCCCGAUAUCAUUUUCUCAAACAAUUGUUUUCCAGGAUUGAUAGAGUUAUCGUCGAUCGAACGAUCAAAUUCUGUGAUAAUAAAAUCGAGGGCUCCACGUUCACCGAAAGCGCCCCAUUCUGUGUUGAUCAGCAUAUGUUGCUUUUCCUUGGAAUAAUUUCCAGAGACCGCACAUUCUACGUUAUUCGUUUUCUCUACGUAACAAGCAUUGGUUCCUGUUCCUGUGUAAGAGAAAAAGAAAAAAAAAUAGUUAGAGAAAAAGAUUUAUCGAGGAUUUGUCAAAGAAUGUUGUGUGUGUGAAUAUUUAAAUUUGUUUUAUAAAACUUACCAACGAUCAAGCCGAUACGACAAUUUCUAUUUUUCCAAGCACAGGACAUUAAGGUACCAGUAGUAUCGUUCAAGAUGGCACAAACAUCGAUCUUGACGUCCUGCAGAGUUUAAAUAUCCUAUAAAUUAAAUGAACAACGUUAAUCAGUAAGUGGAGAUAUAGAGAAAGAAAAAGGUAAAGAAGGAAAAUAUAAGAUCGUACGUCUCUUUUUCGAAUGGCUUCCUCCAAUAAAGCGACAACGUCCUCGCCUAUAACUCCGCUACAAUUAAAGCCCUUUGUCCAUCUUACAAGAUAGCCUUUUGUUAGACCGUGCUGAGACAAUGGAAAACUAAAGGAUUAACAUCGUGCAACGAAAAACCUGUUACCUGUGCCAUUUGGAAGAUCCUGUACGUAUGUGGUAAAGCAUUUCACAAUGGCAUCGUCGUGGCCAGAUUUUGAGAGCCCUUUAGUAAUCUCUUCCAAGAGCUUUUCCAUAACUAUUUGGAGUUGAUCGUUGGAGAGAAUAAGGUCCUUGCAGGCAUCUCGUAUCUUAGAUAAAAAAAAAAAAAAACAGCCAAGUUAAAUACAACAUUCUAAUUAGCACAUUACUUACAGACGAACGAAUCGACUGACGAUUAACAUUCCUCGAACGACCUUCGACAAAUUUUCUAUUAUCUAUCAUCAUUCUUACUAGAAAGAUCUACUCGAGAGAAAGAAAUAUGAAAUAUCCUAUUGCAUAAUUAUAUUUCGUCAUCGAUAUUUAUAAAGAAUCUAUAUAUCAUGAAAAAUGAAAAUAACGAACGCGUUUUAUCUUUUCGAUCGUUCGAUUAAUUCAGGAUACGUUCGGAUAUGUUCGAGUCGAUUUUCUAGCGAUAUACAAUUUCGAAUUAAGUUCGAAUUUAAUACGUUAAUUAAUUCAUCGGAAUGAAUUUUAUGUAAAUAUUUAACAAUGUUCUCGUAAAGAAUUUACCAUAUUUUGGAAUAUUUCGAUAUAAAUCGAAUCACCAACAGGUGUUUUAACUAAUAUUAAGCAAAGUUUUAACUAAAUUUUUCACAUAGAAAAUUUCGCAAUCGCAAAAUUCAUUCAAUGCCAUCGAGACGUAUUUUAUUUUAUUUAUUUAUUUGUUUUUUCCAUUUGUAAUACAUAUCUCCCGUUGGAAAUAUUUAAAUCGCGUGAUAUUUGCCCAGGUCACGUGACACUCAAGGAGAUACGUAAAUUUGAAAUUUCCCGGGAAAUCAAGACUUCCGGAAUCUUAACAACACCCUCCUUGGAGAGUUUGAACAUCGAUCUUUUCCUGACGUUGUUGGCACACCCGUGAGCCAACCAAUAAAACGGUUCAUGAAUGGGCUAUACAGAGAAGGACGAUGCACGAUAUACUUUAAGUCUUUCUCUCUCUUUCUCUCUCUCUCUCUCUCUCUCUCUCUCUCUCUCUCUCUCUCUCUCUCUCUCUCUCUCUCUCGAAUACUAUAAUACUUGUACGCUAUUAGCUCAACACAACGUGUAAAGGCCAAUGCACACAUUAAUUCGUAUAAUGAAUGUGCGGCAUAACGCUUUAGAAUCAUCCAGUUAAGGAUCGAUCAUUAUCAUUGUCGUACGCAAUUUACGUAGGAUUGAUCCGUUUAAACGUUAUAACGUCUCUAUCUUCGUCUCAUAUUAAUUCAUAGUUAGCUAAUAAAAAGUUUAUAAAUUAGACAGGAAUGAUAUGCAUAUGAAAAAGUUCAAUGUCGCAGGAUUUUUACUAUUUUUAUUCCAAGUACUUUUCAUUGACAUUAAGAAAUGAUAACGUUUCAAAUCGGUUUUACAUCAUACCAUGACGUUCGAUAAUUUCCCCCAUGAAACAUAUGGUUCUAUGGCGACAUUAGAUCAAGUACAUCGUAAUUCAUAAAUCACAAAUAAUAGUUAAACAAAAUUUAAACAGUCGAAUAAUCCGAGCAAGAAAUCGUAAUAACAAUCAAUAGAUUUUAUUAAAGACGUUCGUGGAGAUACGAAAAUUUAUUUUUAAUAUCAUUUGACGAGAUUGAUCGACUGAGAACGACUAGAUAAAUCAUUAUUAUGAUUGAUAAUGAUUAUUGAGAUUAACCUUUCAUCCCUUUUGAUAUCAACCUAUGUAUAUCUGUUAUUACGAUCGUAUUACUUUAUACGAAUCGACUUUGCUCGGUGUAAAAAUUGUAUUCGUCAUCUAAAGAUACUCUCAUUUCCGACUAAUGCAUUCCUGUGGUUUUUCCUAAGAACUUGUCGAUAAAAUAAACGUGCGAUGUACUAUUA